rnacentral:sRNA from 1 species
UGACGACGUUGCUAAUACGAACCCUAGC